GUUGAUUUUUCUGAAAAGAAGGUAACUCCAUUGAGACGGGUCCUUGGUUCUGGAGAUUGGGGAGAUUAGGUCUAACAGAUUCUAGGACCCCAGGUUGACAUCAUACCAAGUAAGAGAAUGUUUAGUGAGGACAGUCCAUCUCUAUGAGGAAGACGAAGCUCCCAACUACCGUCAAAUGAUCUGCCUCCAUAUCAGACAAUUUAUAUAUUAGCGUGGACUUCCUUG